AUGUACCACUCGUGCACUCCGGUACCUGCGCGCCGUCCGCACUAACCUGACGACUGCUCGCUACGGUUUGUUAGCC
rnacentral:sRNA from 1 species